UACGUAGGCAGCAAGCGUUGUUCGGAUUUACUGGGCGUAAAGAGUGCGUAGGCGGUGCUCUAAGUUUGGUGUGAAAUCUCCCGGCUUAACUGGGAGGGUGCGCCGAAAACUGGAGUGCUUGAGUAUGGGAGAGGCAAGCGGAAUUCCUGGUGUAGCGGUGAAAUGCGUAGAUAUCAGGAGGAACACCUGUGGUGUAGACAGCUUGCUGGACCAUCACUGACGCUGAGGCACGAAAGCGUGGGUAGCAAACAGG
rnacentral:rRNA from 1 species